rnacentral:lncRNA from 1 species
GUGAGAGACGUUGCUUCGAGAGGUUCAUGUUCAUUCGUUCUACUGAUUUCACGGGAUUAGUCAUACCAACUCUGUGUGAUCGAAGUUCCAAAAGACCGACUCGCCUGCUGGCUUUUCCCGAAUAGAGUCAAAUCAAUGUGUGCAUUCAGUCUUGAUUUGAAAAAUCUCCGAUGGAUCAAUCAUAUUACGCUGUGAAAUAAGAGAUCGGUCUUUAAUUCAUCUUGAUUUAAGAACCAGUUAUCAAAGUCUUAGCGGCAACUGAGCAAGGACCAAAAAGUCCACUCAUCUACAAAUAUCGACGUGUAAUUCACCUCGUUUAGACCAAAGGUAUCGCAUCAUUUCCAAAAUAAAUAUUACAUCACCAGUGACACAAUAGAAGAUUUUAAAUACCAGUGGCUCUCAUCCUAUCAGCUAGAAUCCCAUUGAUUUCUAGAAGCUUCAACGCCGAACUCCGAAAAAAAUAGGAGCAGGAACAAUCGAUCUCGAUUGGCAGCACUCAGAUACAAAUAAAACGACAGUCAAGCUGAUAAUCGAAAUGCCGUUUGAUGGUACUUUGGAUUUAGUGUACUUCCGCGUCAUAGUAUCGGACGAUAGCGAGAAUGGAGACAUCAUCAGUAUUGCUGCGAUACAUGGAGUCAGAAGAUUCAUAGUGUGGGUCAGGCCUUCAAAACCGGUUCCAUCGACGGCACUGCCAAUUCAAUAUGGAUUACGUCUUCGAUAUUUAGACUGGUUUUGGAUGAAUAGGAAACUGCGGACUCUGAGUUUGAUUAAGGCGUUGAUUGAGUUUUUGUUAUUUCUCAAGGGAUCACGAAACCGAGUUUUACUCGUUGGUCAUAAUGCGAAGUUUCAAAUCAUGCACCUAGUCCGAGCUAUUCGGAAUACUGGGAUGAUCGAUUCGUUUGAUGGUGAUAUUCUCGGUUUUGUAGAUACUUUGCAAAUUUUCCGGCGAAAAUUCCCAAAUCGAGGUCCAUUAAGUCAAUACCUAUUACCAGCUUUAUGUCGAGAUCUUUUGUAUACAGAAUAUACAGGCCACCCACUCAAUUCAAUUUAUGGUAUGGAAGUUUUGGAAAAUCUUGUUAUAAACGAGAUAUCAACUGUAGAAUUAGCUGAAGUUGGUAUAUCUUAUGAGGACGCUCAUCGCAUUUUUUCGGAAACUAGAUCUUUGGCAUUUGCUUGAAGCGAUCCCUGAUAUUGAUGAUGAAUCAGAAUGACUAUUCGAAAUAAUGUAAUUGAACGAUUUUCAUGCGACAAAAAGGCGUAAUUUGAUUAUUCUUUUGGAGAACGUGCCAAUAUCAGACAGAACGGUAUUCACAUUGACGACGGAACCCUAGCAAAACACUGCAAUUUUUUUUUAACAUAGUCUCAACGAAGUUGAUCCGAUUUUCUAACAAAAUCUCAAAACCAAAGUUAAUUCGAAUAAUUAGCGUGUGGCUAGGCACGUACACGUAUAAUGAAACUCUUAUCAAUGAAUACGUGAGUGAAAAAAUAAUACGGUUAUCGUAUUGGUAGAGCAGGAUUGAGAUUAUUGAUUUUUUCUUUAUUAAUCUAGAAUGAAUAAAAAAGAAUCGGAAUAUCUGUUUUUUUGUAUUGGUUUAGAAUUUGUAACGACGUCAAAGUAAAAAGGAAACUGUUUUGCAAACUGAUUUCUUCAGUCGAAUAUUCUUCUGAAAAUUUUUUGUAACAUUCAAUCAUUGGAAGCGGUGUGUCAAAUUAAUUAAAACAUUAUUUUAUUCAUAUUACUUGGGAGUGGACUCGUAAAAGCGUCCAAAGGUGUACGCAAAGUUGAUAAUCAAUUUAUUUUAUCUUAAACCCUCAUUUUAAGAUUGCUGGUGAAUAAAAAAUUAAUCUUAAUAAA